GCCCAGACUCCUACGGGAGGCAGCAGUGGGGAAUAUUGCACAAUGGGCGAAAGCCUGAUGCAGCAACGCCGCGUGAAGGAAGAAGGGUUUCGGCUCGUAAACUUCUAUCAACAGGGACGAAAGAAAUGACGGUACCUGAAUAAGAAGCCCCGGCUAACUACGUGCCAGCAGCCGCGGUAAUACGUAGGGGGCAAGCGUUAUCCGGAAUUACUGGGUGUAAAGGGUGAGUAGGCGGCAUGGUAAGCCAGAUGUGAAAGCCUUGGGCUUAACCCGAGGAUUGCAUUUGGAACUAUCAAGCUAGAGUACAGGAGAGGAAAGCGGAAUUCCUAGUGUAGCGGUGAAAUGCGUAGAUAUCACACAGAACACCGAUUGCGAAGGCAUCUGACGAAUCGGAGAUUGACGCUGAUGCACGAAAGCGUGGGUAUCGAACAGGAUUAGAUACCCCGUA
rnacentral:rRNA from 1 species